AGUGAACGCUGGCGGUAGGCCUAACACAUGCCGGUCGAACGGCAGCACAGUAAGAGCUUGCUCUUACGGGUGGCGAGUGGCGGACGGGUGAGGAAUACAUCGGAAUCUACUUUUUCGUGGGGGAUAACGUAGGGAAACUUACGCUAAUACCGCAUACGACCUACGGGUGAAAGCAGGGGAUCUUCGGACCUUGCGCGAUUGAAUGAGCCGAUGUCGGAUUAGCUAGUUGGCGAGGUAAAGGCCCACCAAGGCGACGAUCCGUAGCUGGUCUGAGAGGAUGAUCAGCCACACUGGAACUGAGACACGGUCCAGACUCCUACGGGAGGCAGCAGUGGGGAAUAUUGGACAAUGGGCGAAAGCCUGAUCCAGCCAUACCGCGUGGGUGAAGAAGGCCUUCGGGUUGUAAAGCCCUUUUGUUGGGAAAGAAAAGCAGCAGGUUAAUACCCCGCUGUUCUGACGGUACCCAAAGAAUAAGCACCGGCUAACUUCGUG
rnacentral:rRNA from 1 species